rnacentral:misc_RNA from 1 species
GUAUAGAUUUCUAUAGGCACAAAGGCCCUUUGAUUACAUUCUAUGACAUACUACAACGUCUGUGGAUAAGACAUAGACCUGAAAGGGGAGCUUGACUGCUCUUUCCCUCCAAGACUACAAGUGGUGCACAGUGGGAUAGAUAAAGACAGCAGGUGUGCACAUGCUUCAAGAAGCCAGCGACAACCCACCAUAGUUAUUCAAUAAUGAUCCUUCCGCAGGUUCACCUACGGAAA